CUUGUUCCAGGCUCGUGAGGGUGAAAUCUAGGCUCUGCCCACAGACUUUGCAAUUUUCUGAACUUUGGUGGAAUUAAAGUACUUCAGAAGUGAAUAUCAAAUGAAGAAAAAAAUCAGGCAGCUGCAUAUGUUGGCAUGAUUGAUGAGAUCUGCUACAGUCAAGCAAGCAGCCCUGGGUGACCAGUUUACCCUCCCCGGCUAGGGUUCCAGCUGCCAGUUGCUCCCAUUCUGUGACAGCUUCUCCUUCUCCUCACCUUGUCAUCAAGCCAAGAUUGUACACUGUAGGAGUACAGGUACAGUAGAAAACCCUGGAAGUGAUCUAUAAAACAAAUAUAAGAAGACUCUGAAAUAUGGAGAGAAGGUAGACCAGCUGUGGACCUUGGGACCUGAAGAAGGACACAGUGGCAAGUUUCCUGGGUUUUCUUUUUUGCCUCACAUCUCCCAGACUAGGUACUAGAAAAGUCAGCAGUACAGAAACAUGAAUGGGCACAGUCAAAAAAAAAAUCCUAUGAGAAGCAUGUUCUCUCAGGUCAAAGGACCAGGGAUGGACAACUUAGCAACACAGAAAACUUUUUGAUAAUAACUGCUGUACACCAGCCAGACAAAAGAACUAUGGAAAAAAAGGCCCAUAGCUCAGUAUGCAGUGGCUGAGAGGGAAACUAGAUUUCUACCCUAGCCAGGCUUAAAGGAGGCACACCAGUCUACACUCCAGUGUGACAUCAGAGACAUCCGAG
rnacentral:lncRNA from 1 species